AUGAUGAGGUGUCAUUUUUACAUGAUGAGAGAAAUAGCCGUGUUUAAGCACUUUGAGACGAAGGAUGGCAAGUUCUUCUGCUUCCCCAUGGAGACCAACCAUGCAUCUGUCACCCCAAUGUACAACACUUACCGUGCUUCUCAGUUCAUCUUCCCUGGCGACGACGAAGUUCUGGCACGGGCCGGGCGCUAUUGCCGAUCAUUCCUCCUAGAGAGACAAGCCUCCAACAAACUGUACGACAAGUGGAUCAUCACCAAGGAUCUGCCGGGAGAGGUUGGCUACACACUGAACCUACCCUGGAAAGCAAGUUUAUCACGAAUUGAAACAAGGAUGUUUCUGGAUCAGUACGGAGGCAAUACAGAUGUUUGGAUUGCCAAGGUUCUCUACAGGUAA
rnacentral:rRNA from 1 species